rnacentral:ncRNA from 1 species
GUUUCGGGGCGGAGUGAAAUUCUCCACCGGUGGUAAUGAGCAAGUUGCUCUAGUCCACGCGCCUUUGGCUGAUCUGGUGCGAUUCCAGAACCGACGGUAUAGUCCGGAUGAAAGAAA